GACGAACCGUGCGAACGUUAUUCGGAAUCACUGGGCUUAAAGGGUGCGUAGGCUGCGAGGAGGGUGGGGUGUGAAAUCCCUCGGCUUAACCGAGGAAUUGCGCUCCAAACCGCCUUGCUGGAGUGAGACAGAGGUGAGCGGAACUAAUGGUGGAGCGGUGAAAUGCGUAGAUAUCAUUUGGAACGCCAAUGGUGAAAACAGGUAGCUGGGAGUGUGCUGACGCUGAGACACGAAAGCCAGGGGAGCGAACGGG
rnacentral:rRNA from 1 species